rnacentral:rRNA from 1 species
AUUGAACGCUGGCGGCAGGCCUAACACAUGCAAGUCGAACGGUAACAGGAAGAAGCUUGCUUCUUUGCUGACGAGUGGCGGACGGGUGAGUAAUGUCUGGGAAACUGCCUGAUGGAGGGGGAUAACUACUGGAAACGGUAGCUUAUACCGCAUAACGUCGCAAGACCAAAGAGGGGGACCUUCGGGCCUCUUGCCAUCGGAUGUGCCCAGAUGGGAUUAGCUAGUAGGUGGGGUAACGGCUCACCUAGGCGACGAUCCCUAGCUGGUCUGAGAGGAUGACCAGCCACACUGGAACUGAGACACGGUCCAGACUCCUACGGGAGGCAGCAGUGGGGAAUAUUGCACAAUGGGCGCAAGCCUGAUGCAGCCAUGCCGCGUGUAUGAAGAAGGCCUUCGGGUUGUAAAGUACUUUCAGCGGGGAGGAAGGGAGUAAAGUUAAUACCUUUGCUCAUUGACGUUACCCGCAGAAGAAGCACCGGCUAACUCCGUG